CAGUCGAACGCUGAAGCCGACAGCUUGCUGUUGGUGGAUGAGUGGCGAACGGGUGAGUAACACGUGAGUAACCUGCCCCUGAUUUCGGGAUAAGCCUGGGAAACUGGGUCUAAUACCGGAUAUGACCUCCUGACGCAUGUUGGUUGGUGGAAAGUUUUUCGAUCGGGGAUGGGCUCGCGGCCUAUCAGCUUGUUGGUGGGGUAAUGGCCUACCAAGGCGACGACGGGUAGCCGGCCUGAGAGGGCGACCGGCCACACUGGGACUGAGACACGGCCCAGACUCCUACGGGAGGCAGCAGUGGGGAAUAUUGCACAAUGGGGGAAACCCUGAUGCAGCGACGCAGCGUGCGGGAUGACGGCCUUCGGGUUGUAAACCGCUUUCAGCAGGGAAGAAGCGAAAGUGACGGUACCUGCAGAAGAAGUACCGGCUAACUACGUGCCAGCAGCCGCGGUAAUACGUAGGGUACGAGCGUUGUCCGGAAUUAUUGGGCGUAAAGAGCUCGUAGGUGGUUGGUCACGUCUGCUGUGGAAACGCAACGCUUAACGUUGCGCGUGCAGUGGGUACGGGCUGACUAGAGUGCAGUAGGGGAGUCUGGAAUUCCUGGUGUACGUG
rnacentral:rRNA from 1 species